rnacentral:lncRNA from 1 species
GGGAGCCCAGGGCUGUCCUCGGGUAAUGCUUUGUGUGGCUCCUAGAAAUAGAGGUCCACACUAGAUGGUGGGAUCCAUGUCCAGGUUAAACUAAUUUCGGUGUCUCCCCAAUCCCCUCUGCCUACCAUACCCCAUGCAGAGUGAGUGCCUCCUUUCCAUUGAGGGUUUUGUGCCAAUCCACCUCACCACUGGGCUGCAGGCUAUGGGGGCUAUAAGGGCUGGGGGAGACAGGGAGAACGGGGAGAAAGGAAGCCAGAAUUGACUAACCAUUUCUUUUCCACUGGUGUCUCCUGGGCUAGUGCAUCUUGCUGCAGAGGGAAAUUGAAGACCUUAGAGACCAACUAGCUGCCAUGCAGUUCCUCACUGACAAGUUCCAGGACCUGUGAAGUUGGAGCCAGCAUCUUCCUACAAGAUGAGCAGCUGCUACCUUUGGAGCUCCGGAGCUGCAGCUAAGCGGGUUCCCUCCAUAUCCUGUUCAGCCAGGGCUUCCUCUCUUCUGCUGCAUUUG